UACGGAGGAUGCAAGCGUUAUCCGGAAUGAUUGGGCGUAAAGCGUCCGCAGGUGGCUAUGUAAGUCUGCUGUUAAAGAGUGAGGCUCAACCUCAUAAGAGCAGUGGAAACUACAUGGCUAGAGUGCGUUCGGGGCAGAGGGAAUUCCUGGUGUAGCGGUGAAAUGCGUAGAUAUCAGGAAGAACACCGGUGGCGAAAGCGCUCUGCUAGGCCGCAACUGACACUGAGGGACGAAAGCGAGGGGAGCAAAUGGG
rnacentral:rRNA from 1 species